CCUAUAAGGUGUCAGGAUCUCACCGUCUAUUUCUCCAUGGAGGAGUGGGAGUAUUUAGAAGGACACAAAGAUCUGUACAAGGACGUCAUGAUGGAGGAUCACUGGCCCCUCACAUCACAAGUUAAAUCCAUUAAGAUAACAACACCGGAGAGAUGUCCCAGUCCUCUUCUUCCACAGGAUGGUUCAGAAGAACAUCACAAUGUCCCACAGGGUGAUCAGCUUGUGAAUUCGGGUGAAGAU